rnacentral:rRNA from 1 species
GACGAACGCUGGCGGCGUGCUUAACACAUGCAAGUCGAACGAAGCGGCGAACGGGUGAGUAACGGGUAAGCAACCUGCCCUUCAGAGGGGGAAAACAGUUGGAAACGACUGAUAAUACCGCAAAAUGAAGGAGGGGAUUGCGUCUGAUUUGCUAGUUGGAGGGGUAACGGCCCACCAAGGCGAUGAUCAGUAGCCGGGCUGAGAGGAUUAACGGCCACAUUGGGACUGAGACACGGCCCAGACUCCUACGGGAGGCAGCAGUGGGGAAUCUUCCGCAAUGGACGAAAGUCUGACGGAGCAACGCCGCGUGAGUGAUGACGGCCUUCGGGUUGUAAAGCUCUGUUAAUCGGGACGCGGUACCGGAAUAGAAAGCCACGGCUAACUACGUGCCAGCAGCCGCGGUAAUAC